rnacentral:rRNA from 1 species
GACGAACGCUGGCGGCGUGCUUAACACAUGCAAGUCGAACGAAGUGUAGCAAUACACUUAGUGGCGACGGGUGAGUAACACGUGAGCAAUCUGCCCUAUACACUGGGAUAACACAGAGAAAUUUGUGCUAAUACCGGAUAAGACCACACUGCGGCAUCGCAGAGAGGUAAAAGGUCCGCCGGUAUAGGAGGAGCUCGCGGCCCAUUAGAUAGUUGGUGAGGUAACGGCCCACCAAGUCGACGAUGGGUAGCCGACCUGAGAGGGUGAUCGGCCACAUUGGAACUGAGAUACGGUCCAAACUCCUACGGGAGGCAGCAGUGGGGAAUAUUGGGCAAUGGACGCAAGUCUGACCCAGCAACGCCGCGUGAAGGAAGAAGGCUUUCGGGUUGUAAACUUCUUUUAAGAGGGAAGAGUAGAAGACGGUACCUCUUGAAUAAGCCACGGCUAACUACGUG